CGAAGUAAGAAAGGGCGUACGGUGGAUGCCUAGGCUCUCACAGGCGAUGAAGGACGUGAUAAGCUGCGAUAAGCUUCGGGGAGGUGCAAAUGACCUUUGAUCCGGAGAUUUCCGAAUGGGACAACCCGGCAGGCUGAAGGCCUGUCAUCCGAUGCAUAUCGGAGGCGAACGCGGGGAACUGAAACAUCUUAGUACCCGCAGGAAGAGAAAAUAAAAAUGAUUCCCCUAGUAGUGGCGAGCGAACGGGGAAGAGCCCAAACCGCUGCGGUUCUGGCCGCGGCGGGGUUGUAGGACUGCGAUAUCGAGAAGAAGAAGUGAGUGGAACGUACUGGAAAGUGCGGCCAUAGCGGGUGAUAGCCCCUUACACGAAGCCUCUUUCAUCGUAGCAGUAUCCUGAGUAGCGCGGGACACGUGAAAUCCUGUGUGAAUCCGGCGGGCCCAUCCGCCAAGGCUAAAUACUCGUGAGAGACCGAUAGUGAACCAGUACCGUGAGGGAAAGGUGAAAAGCACCGCGCGCAGCGGAGUGAAAUAGUCCCUGAACCCGUACGCCUACAAGCGGUCGGAGCAACUUUAUGUUGUGACGGCGUGCCUUUUGCAUAAUGAACCUACGAGUUGCCGUCGCCGGCGAGGUUAAGCGCAAUGAUGCGCGCAGCCGAAGCGAAAGCGAGUCUUAAACGGGCGCAUAGUCCGCGGCGGCAGACGCGAAACCGAGUGAUCUACCCUUGUCCAGGCUGAAGUCCGGGUAACACCGGAUGGAGGGCCGAACCAAUAAGCGUUGAAAAGCUUCUGGAUGAGGUGAGGGUAGGAGUGAAAGGCCAAUCAAACUCGGAGAUAGCUCGUACUCCCCGAAAUGCAUUUAGGUGCAGCCCCCGUUGUUUCCUGCAUGAGGUAGAGCGACUGAUCGGAUGCGAGGGCUUCACCGCCUAUCAAGUCCGGACAAACUCCGAAUGCGUGCAGGUCAGAGACGGGGAGUGAGGGCAUGGGUGCUAAGGUCCGUGCCCGAGAGGAGAAGAAUCCAGACCGCCGGCUAAGGUCCCGAAUUACAGGUUAAGUUAGUCUAACGAAGUGUUGUCCCGAAGACAGCUAGGAUGUUGGCUUGGAAGCAGCCAUUCAUUCAAAGAGUGCGUAACAGCUCACUAGUCGAGGGACGUCGCAUGGAUAAUAAUCGGGUAUGAAAUCUGUAACCGAAGCCGCGGGAUGUCUUAAGACAUCGGUAGGGGAGCAUUCCACCGGCGUUGAAUGUCGAAGAUGACUUCGGCUGGAGCUUGUGGAAAAGCAAAUGUAGGUAUAAGUAACGAUAAAGAGGGUUAGAUGCCCUCUCGCCGAAAGACCAAGGAUUCCCGGGCAACGUUAAUCGCCCCGGGGUUAGUCGGGCCCUAAGGAUAAGCCGAACGGCGAGGCCGAUGGAAGAAACGGUUAAUAUUCCGUUACUGCCUUGCAUGGCGAUGUGGAGACGGAGAAGUGACACUUCCGCGCACUGACGGAAACGUGCGUUGAAGAGUGUAGGCGUAGAUCGUGGUAGGCAAAUCCGCCGCGAGAGCCGAACUUGACAGUACGCAAAGCCUUCGGGCGGCGCGAUAGCGAAGGUAAGCAUGCUCCCGAGAAAAUCCGCUAAGCUUAACAUGCAAGGUACCCGUACCGUAAACGGACACACGUGGUCGGGUAGAAAAUACUAAGGCGCUUGGAAGAUUCACGGUUAAGGAACUAGGCAAAUUGACCCCGUACCUUCGGAAUAAGGGGUCCUCACAGCGAUGUGAGGCGCAGAGAAUAGGUCCAGGCAACUGUUUAACAAAAACACAGGGCUGUGCAAAUUCGAAAGAUGAAGUAUACAGCCUGACACCUGCCCGGUGCUGGAAGGUUAAGAGGAGAUGUCACCGCAAGGGAAGCAUCGAAUUGAAGCCCCAGUAAACGGCGGCCGUAACUAUAACGGUCCUAAGGUAGCGAAAUUCCUUGUCGGGUAAGUUCCGACCUGCACGAAUGG
rnacentral:rRNA from 1 species